GGAAAUGGCAACCCACUCCAGUAUUCUUGCCUGGAAAAUCCCAUGGACUGUAGUGGGCUACAGUCCAUGGGGUCACAAAGAGUCAGACUCGACUGAGCACACACGAAAACAUAUGCACACUGCUCUAAGCCCAGUGCAGCUCACCAGCCAACAGAACAGAGGCAAAGGGAGAGUGGUGGGAGGGGAACCUCCAGGUGGGCACCUGCGCACUUGGACAGGAGACCCAAGUGCUCGAGGGAGACGGAGUACUGCUGUGUAACGAACCAGCCCAGACCCUAAUGGCUUAAGAAUAAUCGUGUAUUCUGCCACAAACCUAAGCUGAGCAGGACUCAGCGGGGAUGGCUUCUCUGUGCUCCAUGCGGCCUCUGGGGCAACUCAACUAGAAUCCACUUUCAAGAUGGUGCAUCACGCAGCCAACAAGUUAGCGCUGGCUACCAGCUAGGAGCUUUGAUUCCUCAUCACAAGGACUGCUCACUCCACAGGGCUUUCUGGACUUCACAACCCAGAGGCUGAAUUCCCAGGGCGAGUGCCCCCAGAAUCAGACCAGUGUCUCGAAUCCUGGGCCUGGAACCUGGCCCAGUGUCACAUUCAUUCUAGCCUAUGGGUACGUCAGUCUCAGAACCUCAGAUUUAAGAGGGUACGGACACAGCAUCACAAAAGAACAUUAAAUUCGUAGAGAAGUGACAAGACAAAGGAGAAGUACUCUGAGCUUCUAGGAGUGGCAAAUUGUGGAAAGCAAGAGUGGUACCAUGUCUCCCCAGACCGAAGAGAUCUCGGAAUUGGCUAAGAGGCCGCCAUGAAACGUGACCUGUGUGACUGAGACAGGCUAACUUCUCUGAGCCAAAAUUUCCUCAACUGUAAAAUGCAAAUCCUAAUACCUACUUAUUAACAAGGUGACUGCCAGGGUGGGGAAGAGAUGCUGCAUGUGACACUGU
ensembl:lncRNA